ensembl:snRNA U4 U4 spliceosomal RNA
AGCUUUGCCCAGUGGCAGUAUUGUAGCCAAUGAGGUUUAUCCAAGGCGCAAUUAUUGCUAAUUGAAGACUUUUCCCAAUAUAGUCUUCAAUUAGCAAUAAUUGGAAAUAUAGUUGGCAUUGGCAAUUUUUGGCAGUCUCUAUGGGGA